GGAUGGGUGGCCGAGCGGUUGAAGGCACCGGUCUUGAAAACCGGCGGGCGGGCAACCGUCUCGUGGGUUCGAAUCCCACCCCAUCCGCCA
rnacentral:tRNA from 2 species